UACGUAGGGUGCAAGCGUUAUCCGGAAUUAUUGGGCGUAAAGAGCUCGUAGGCGGUUUGUCGCGUCUGCUGUGAAAACCGGAGGCUCAACCUCCGGCCUGCAGUGGGUACGGGCAAACUAGAGUGCGGUAGGGGAGGUUGGAAUUCCUGGUGUAGCGGUGGAAUGCGCAGAUAUCAGGAGGAACACCGAUGGCGAAGGCAGAUCUCUGGGCCGUAACUGACGCUGAGGAGCGAAAGCGUGGGGAGCGAACAGG
rnacentral:rRNA from 1 species